rnacentral:rRNA from 1 species
UCGAGCGAGGCGGGUAGCAAUACCCAGUCGAGCGGCGAACGGGUGAGUAACGCGUGGAUGACCUGCCCUCCAGUGGGGAAUAACCCGGGGAAACUCGGGCUAAUACCGCAUACGACCGAGAGGUGAAAGAGGGGCGCAAGCCUCUUGUUGAAGGAGGGGUCCGCGUUCGAUUAGCUAGUUGGUAGGGUAAUGGCCUACCAAGGCGACGAUCGAUAGCCGGCCUGAGAGGGUGAUCGGCCACACUGGAACUGAGACACGGUCCAGACUCCUACGGGAGGCAGCAGUGGGGAAUUUUGCGCAAUGGGCUAACGCCUGACGCAGCAACGCCGCGUGGAGGAUGAAGGUCUUUGGAUUGUAAACUCCUGUCAGCAGGGAAAAAGGGAGCUGGCCUAAUACGCCGGUAACUUGAUUGUACCUGCAGAGGAAGCCCCGGCUAACUCUGUGCCAGCAGCCGCGGUAAUACAGAGGGGGCAAGCGUUA